AUCGCUUCUCGGGCCUAAUGGCUAAGAUCAAGUGUAGUAUCUGUUCUUAUCAGUUUAAUAUCUGGUAGGCCAUUCUCUGAAUGGUCAGUAUAUUAAUCUGAUUUUUGGCCUUGGGUCAUGGAGGGUGGAUUCAUUCACGCCGUGACCACGGGUUGCCUUGGUGUUGCACUAUUACCGAUGGCGGCCCACAUAAG